AUUGAACGCUGGCGGCAGGCCUAACACAUGCAAGUCGAACGGUAACAGGAAGCAGCUUGCUGCUUUGCUGACGAGUGGCGGACGGGUGAGUCAUGUCUGGGAAACUGCCUGAUGGAGGGGGAUAACUACUGGAAACGGUAGCUAAUACCGCAUAACGUCGCAAGACCAAAGAGGGGGACCUUAGGGCCUCUUGCCAUCGUAUGUGCCCAGGUGGGAUAAGCGAGUAGGUGGGGGAACGGCUCACCUAGCCGACGAUCCCUAGCUGGUCUGAGAGGAUCACCCGCCCCACUGGAACUGAGACACGGUCCAGACUCCUACGGUAGGCAGCAGUGUGGGAUAUUGCACAAUGGGCGCAAGCCUGAUGCAGCAAUGCCGCGUGUGUGAAGACGGCCUUCGGGUUGUAAAGUACUUUCAGCGGGGAGAAAGCGACUCAAGUUAAUACCUUUCCUCAUUGACGUUACCCGCAGAAGAAGCACCGGCUAACUACGUG
rnacentral:rRNA from 1 species